rnacentral:rRNA from 1 species
GACGAACGCUGGCGGCGUGCUUAACACAUGCAAGUCGAACGGAAAGGCCCUGCUUUUGUGGGGUGCUCGAGUGGCGAACGGGUGAGUAACACGUGAGUAACCUGCCCUUGACUUUGGGAUAACUUCAGGAAACUGGGGCUAAUACCGGAUAGGAGCUCCUGCUGCAUGGUGGGGGUUGGAAAGUUUCGGCGGUUGGGGAUGGACUCGCGGCUUAUCAGCUUGUUGGUGGGGUAGUGGCUUACCAAGGCUUUGACGGGUAGCCGGCCUGAGAGGGUGACCGGCCACAUUGGGACUGAGAUACGGCCCAGACUCUACGGGAGGCAGCAGUGGGGAAUAUUGCACAAUGGGCGGAAGCCUGAUGCAGCAACGCCGCGUGCGGGAUGACGGCCUUCGGGUUGUAAACCGCUUUCGCCUGUGACGAAGCGUGAGUGACGGUAAUGGGUAAAGAAGCACCGGCUAACUACGU